GCUUAUGGCCAUACCACCCUGAGAACGCCCGAUCUCGUCUGAUCUCGGAAGCUAAGCAGGGUCGGGCCUGGUUAGUACUUGGAUGGGAGACCACCUGGGAAUACCAGGUGCUGUAAGCU
ensembl:rRNA 5S_rRNA 5S ribosomal RNA